AGAAACGCGAUGAAGGGGCAAUACCGUUACUAGUCUGUCUCAGAGAACCGGCGGUUGGUGUGAGUCGGUGGCAGCAGGCGGUUGAUCCACCCUGGGAGCGGACGGCGGACCCGUACGGCAGCGCACGUUACGCGCCUAAAGCGGAUCGUUCUUUACGAUCAAACUGGGUGGCACCACGGGAGUCAAUCCCGUCCCUAGA
rnacentral:ncRNA from 1 species